rnacentral:rRNA from 1 species
UUCGUAGGCGGUGUGGCAAGUCGGGAGUGAAAUCUCUGGGCUCAACCCAGAGACUGCUUCCGAAACUGCUGUGCUUGAGUGUGAGAGAGGCUCGUGGAAUUGCAGGUGUAGCGGUGAAAUGCGUAGAUAUCUGCAGGAACACCCGUGGCGAAAGCGGCGAGCUGGAUCACUACUGACGCUGAGGAACGAAAGCUAGGGGAGCAAACA